rnacentral:rRNA from 1 species
AUGGACCCAAUGCCGACUCUGGUCAAGGAGGAGGAGGAUGGCCAUGGGACAGGAGAAUCGCCGGGGGCCACGGCGGCAUCGAGGCCGGUGAAGGGGCUGCGCGAUGCCAGGCCGUCGCUGUUCCUGACAAAGACGUACGACAUGGUCGAUGACCGGAGCACCGACGACGUCGUGUCGUGGAGCGCUGGCAAUAACAGCCUCGUCGUGUGGGAUCUGCACCACUUCUCCACAGUGCUGCUGCCGAGGCACUUCAAGCACAGCAACUUCUCCAGCUUUGUCAAGCAGCUCAACACCUAUGGUUUCAGAAAGGUGGAUCCUGAUCGAUGGGAGUUUGCCAAUGAGGGUUUUCUACGGGGACAGAGGCACCUUCUGAAGAACAUCAGACGUCGAAGACCUCCCGCUAAUACUGCUUCAAAUCAGCAAUCUCUUGGAUCAUACCUUGAGGUGGGACACUUUGGAAAUCAUACAGAUACCGACCAGCUGAAAAGGGACAAGCAACUAUUGAUGGCAGAAGUGGUGAAGCUAAGGCAGGAACAGCAGAGCAUGAAAACGCACCUGAAAGGCAUGGAGGAGAGGCUACAUGGAACCGAGCGGAAGCAGCAGCAAAUGACAGCAUUCCUGGCACGUGUCUUCCAGAAACCUGAAUUAUUGAAGCAACUGAUUUCCCUGAAUGGGGUGAGGAAGGAGCUCCAUGACGCUAUGUCAAAGAAAAGGAGGCGUAGCAUCGGUCAGGGUCCUGAAGCUGAUGACAUGGGUGCUAGUGGCAGCCUGGAGCAAGAGUCACCUGUUCUGUCUGAUCCCCAUGAGUCAGUGGAACUUCUUGGAGAGGGGUCGGUGGAACUCCUUGCUGACGGCGUCCCAUCUGAGCUGGAAAGUUCGGCAGCACUCCUUGCUGAUGGGAUCCCACCUGACCUGGAAGGUGCGGCGGAACUCCUUGUUGAUGUGAUUCCAUCUGAUCUCAACGACUCAGGCGUCGACACUAACGGUGUAAAGCCACAGGAUUUUGGUCUCGGUACCUGUGAAGUGCAGCAGAACAGAGCCCAGGGGGCGUUGCAUGAUGAUUUCUGGGAGGAGCUGAUGAGCAGAGCACUCAGCGGUGAGGAUGACAACCCGGAUAACGUGGACGACAUGGAUGUGCUGUCUGAGAAGACGGAUUUUCUCGUCCCAAACAAUGUGCGGGGAGCAGUGGCCCGUGAACCGGCGGGGCAACGCUACGGGUGGCACAACUUCUGCGUCGACAAUGCCCUCAACGUCGCCUGCCUACUCGCGCGCUCCGGGACCGUCCAGUUGCCACUGCUUUGA